rnacentral:rRNA from 1 species
UUAAGCGACUAAGCGUACACGGUGGAUGCCCUGGCAGUCAGAGGCGAUGAAGGACGUGCUAAUCUGCGAUAAGCGUCGGUAAGGUGAUAUGAACCGUUAUAACCGGCGAUUUCCGAAUGGGGAAACCCAGUGUGAUUCGUCACACUAUCAUUAACUGAAUCCAUAGGUUAAUGAGGCGAACCGGGGGAACUGAAACAUCUAAGUACCCCGAGGAAAAGAAAUCAACCGAGAUUCCCCCAGUAGCGGCGAGCGAACGGGGAGGAGCCCAGAGCCUGAAUCAGUGUGUGUGUUAGUGGAAGCGUCUGGAAAGGCGCGCGAUACAGGGUGACAGCCCCGUACACAAAAAUGCACAUACUGUGAGCUCGAUGAGUAGGGCGGGACACGUGGUAUCCUGUCUGAAUAUGGGGGGACCAUCCUCCAAGGCUAAAUACUCCUGACUGACCGAUAGUGAACCAGUACCGUGAGGGAAAGGCGAAAAGAACCCCGGCGAGGGGAGUGAAAAAGAACCUGAAACCGUGUACGUACAAGCAGUGGGAGCACGCUUCGGCGUGUGACUGCGUACCUUUUGUAUAAUGGGUCAGCGACUUAUAUUCUGUAGCAAGGUUAACCGAAUAGGGGAGCCGAAGGGAAACCGAGUCUUAACUGGGCGUUAAGUUGCAGGGUAUAGACCCGAAACCCGGUGAUCUAGCCAUGGGCAGGUUGAAGGUUGGGUAACACUAACUGGAGGACCGAACCGACUAAUGUUGAAAAAUUAGCGGAUGACUUGUGGCUGGGGGUGAAAGGCCAAUCAAACCGGGAGAUAGCUGGUUCUCCCCGAAAGCUAUUUAGGUAGCGCCUCGUGAAUUCAUCUCCGGGGGUAGAGCACUGUUUCGGCAAGGGGGUCAUCCCGACUUACCAACCCGAUGCAAACUGCGAAUACCGGAGAAUGUUAUCACGGGAGACACACGGCGGGUGCUAACGUCCGUCGUGAAGAGGGAAACAACCCAGACCGCCAGCUAAGGUCCCAAAGUCAUGGUUAAGUGGGAAACGAUGUGGGAAGGCCCAGACAGCCAGGAUGUUGGCUUAGAAGCAGCCAUCAUUUAAAGAAAGCGUAAUAGCUCACUGGUCGAGUCGGCCUGCGCGGAAGAUGUAACGGGGCUAAACCAUGCACCGAAGCUGCGGCAGCGACACUAUGUGUUGUUGGGUAGGGGAGCGUUCUGUAAGCCUGUGAAGGUGUACUGUGAGGUAUGCUGGAGGUAUCAGAAGUGCGAAUGCUGACAUAAGUAACGAUAAAGCGGGUGAAAAGCCCGCUCGCCGGAAGACCAAGGGUUCCUGUCCAACGUUAAUCGGGGCAGGGUGAGUCGACCCCUAAGGCGAGGCCGAAAGGCGUAGUCGAUGGGAAACAGGUUAAUAUUCCUGUACUUGGUGUUACUGCGAAGGGGGGACGGAGAAGGCUAUGUUGGCCGGGCGACGGUUGUCCCGGUUUAAGCGUGUAGGCUGAUUUUCCAGGCAAAUCCGGAAAAUCAAGGCUGAGGCGUGAUGACGAGGCACUACGGUGCUGAAGCAACAAAUGCCCUGCUUCCAGGAAAAGCCUCUAAGCAUCAGGUAACAUCAAAUCGUACCCCAAACCGACACAGGUGGUCAGGUAGAGAAUACCAAGGCGCUUGAGAGAACUCGGGUGAAGGAACUAGGCAAAAUGGUGCCGUAACUUCGGGAGAAGGCACGCUGAUAUGUAGGUGAAGCGACUUGCUCGUGGAGCUGAAAUCAGUCGAAGAUACCAGCUGGCUGCAACUGUUUAUUAAAAACACAGCACUGUGCAAACACGAAAGUGGACGUAUACGGUGUGACGCCUGCCCGGUGCCGGAAGGUUAAUUGAUGGGGUUAGCGGUAACGCGAAGCUCUUGAUCGAAGCCCCGGUAAACGGCGGCCGUAACUAUAACGGUCCUAAGGUAGCGAAAUUCCUUGUCGGGU